rnacentral:rRNA from 1 species
UACGGAGGGAGCUAGCGUUGUUCGGAAUUACUGGGCGUAAAGCGCGCGUAGGCGGCUUUGUAAGUUAGAGGUGAAAGCCCGGAGCUCAACUCCGGAACUGCCUUUAAAACUGCAUCGCUUGAAUCCAGGAGAGGUGAGUGGAAUUCCGAGUGUAGCGGUGAAAUGCGCAGAUAUCAGGAGGAACACCAAUGGCGAAGGCAGCUCGCUGGAACGGUACUGACGCUGAGGCGCGAAAGCGUGGGGAGCGAACAGG